UCCCGGUUGGCCCGGGCAGUCUCGCAUGAAAAAUACAACAUACGAUAAGGGUUGCGCUCGUUGCGGGACUUAACCCAACAUCUCACGACACGAGCUGACGACGGCCAUGCAGCACCUGUCACUAGGCUCCCGAAGGCACUCCCGCAUUUCUGCAGGAUUCCUAGGAUGUCAAGCCUGGGUAAGGUUCUUCGCGUAGCUUCAAAUUAAACCACAUCAUCCACCGCUUGUGCGGGUCCCCGUCAAUUCCUUUGAGUUUUAGCCUUGCGGCCGUACUUCCCAGGCGGCAUACUUAACGCGUUAGCUUCGACGCACAGGGGGUCGAUACCCCAUACGUCUAGUAUGCAUCGUUUACGGCGUGGACUAC
rnacentral:misc_RNA from 1 species